ensembl:lncRNA
GGGAAAAGGUAUUAUCUGCAAAAUGCCAAGUUUGGAAGUUACAUAUGAAGCAAGGGAGAACAUAAAUAAAUGGAUCAGGGAGCAGAAACUAAAGCAAGAAAUUUAUUGAUUUAUUUAUUUAUUUAGUAAUAACCUACAGAAAUUGAUUUUGCUUGGGCUGUGUCAGGCACUCAGAACUAUGCCACACACUAUGCACAGGAGUGGAGAUGGAAACGCAUCGUAUUGCGUAGCUACAAGUCUGGGAAUCUAUACUCUUAGUGAGGAAUCAGAAUCACCACACAACUGAAGCCCAGAAUCAUCACAGAGUCAAGGAAUCUAGAAUCAUGAAACGAUCACAGAAUCUGAAAUAACAGAACUUAUAAUCACAGGAGCUGGUAUCCUCAUAGCAUCCUCAUAGAAUCCUCCAAUAAUCAAUUCAUAGAAUCCUCAGACUCUAGAAUCCUAGACUCUAGUAACCCCAUAAUAACCCCACAGUACUGAAUCACCACAUUUUGUUUCCUCACUCCCACAGAGGGAAACUUUCUGUGGAGCAUGCUCACAAUUGACAGUAUCAGUCAGCAUCACCCAGCACUCCUUAUGGAACAGGUUACCUAGAAUAUCAAAGCACUGCCAGUUACAAGUGCUCAGAGGUUCUUCCUCAAAAGAUGAAUUGUUAAUACUAUCUUUCAUUCUAAUUUGGAUACGGGAAGGGAACCGAGGUCUAGAAUCUUUAUGAACAGAAUCCAACACCACUGUGCUCUUCACAAAACCUUUCCCCUUUGCCACAACACAGGGGAAUGGGGAAAGUGAACCUUCAUCCUGGUUUUCCACUACCCCUCAGGUCAGUCCCUGGGGACAGUUGGGACCCUUCUGGAGACGCCAGGAGCCCCCAGGACCCUCAUCAGGCCCCGGGCAUUUUGGUGCCACAAGCCCACUAGCACCCAGGGUGUAUCCCCUGGUGUCCCACAGGACGUGACAGCCCAGGCAGGAUGCAGCGUGACAGACCCAUGUGGCUCCGUGGUGUGAGAUUCGUAUGUACUUCUCCCUGUCCCUGGCUGAAGUUCUCAGAGGGGUACACAGAGGUAGGAGAGAGCUAAGGACAAGGCCAAGGGGCACUUAGGGUGACAGGACCUUGCUCAGACCACUGGGACCACAGUGCCGUGGGUGAACACACUGCCACCCACCUAGUGAAAGCUGUGUCCUUGCUGCAGCUAUGUCUCCAAAGGGCUUUAGUCAGUGCCAGAACCCACAGAUCCCCUAUACAGGGCAAAACUACAGAAUUCUGCAUCAAUCAAUCGUCAGGAGCUUCCAUUCACUGACAACGUCACUGUGAGGCCAAGGUCCCCACAGGCCAGGUGACACAGGGACAUCGCUGGGACACUGAGCGAUCAGCGGCAGUGCUGUUGAUGGCAGCAUCAGCUCAAGGGGACACAGCACUGGCAAUGCAGUGACAAUGAGAAUGUCAUCAGUGACAACCACAACUCUCGAGUCCAUUGGACACAGUGCUGAAGGUCAGUGUCAGUGACACUGCAACAACAACGCCAGGAGCUCCCCACAGCUGCCAGCACUGCCCCCCCCCCCCCCCACAGACAUUCCC